AGAUUUGAGGACAAUAUGGUCACUGUCCAUCUGUCACCCUAUUGAUCCAUCUGAUUUGGCUGGUUAGGUGGAUAGCCUCUUCCUCCCUUACUGGUCCAUUGUAUCCCUCCUAAAGAUGCUUGCUCAGUCAAAAAUGAUGACCUUCCUUGAAGAGAGGAGGACCAGUCUUGGGUCAAGGGUAUAUGAGUAGCUGUGCCUCCAAACAAGCUCUCAAAAUCACUUUGUAUAUCGGGCAGAGUAACACACCCAAGUAAGAAAUGUGCUGCGUU
rnacentral:snRNA from 1 species